GUGUGUGUCUUUCAGUGGCAAUUAACCUCAAUUAUUAUCCUAUAGUCCAUAAAAACAGCUGCAUGGAACAGGGUCUGUGAGGGAUCCGUAUCUAGGUCUGGAAUCUCCUCACAGUUCUCCAAGAGAGUGACUAUGUUUGGGGCAUUUUCAGACAUGCUAUAAAUCCUAACUGGCAUUGUUUGCUCCCAGCGAUAAAAGAAAGGGUAGCAGGUGUGCCUCCCAACCAACCCUUUAUUGCCUGGGCAUGUGACAGCAUUUUGCGGCACCUCAGUAAUGAGCCAGAGAAGAAGGAAAGGCAGAUGAAUUUGCCAGCAUUAUUGCAGGUACAGUCAUGUGCCGCAUAAUGACAUUCAGUCAAUGACAGACUGCAUAUAUGAGGUGGUCCUGUAAGGUGAUAAUGGAGCUGAAAAAUUCCUACUACUGAACGACAUCAUAGCCAUUGUAACAUCAUAGCACAACCAAUCACCUUUUCUAUAUUUAGAUAAGGAGUUCAUAUGCUGGAAUGAUAGUGACACAGGAGUUUAACACUCCUACAGUAUCCAGAGCCUGGAUCCCUGAGUCAUCAGAUGGAGAAGAACUACUCAGGAGAGUCAUCCAACCUUCAUAGACAGUGGCAUGAGUGGGAAUUAAACAUUGAUUAUGUUAAGCCAUUGCAGUUUGGGGUUGUUUGUUACAGAAGUGUUCAUUUUCCCUUAUUGACCCA
rnacentral:lncRNA from 10 species